rnacentral:lncRNA from 1 species
GUGGGGUUCACCUUCCUACAUCCGCUCCUAGUCCCCAGGGAACCAGCCAGGGUCUGGAACCACCGAGACCUCGGUCUUCCCAGCCCUAGAGCGGCAGGGCAGGCCACACUUCCGGCCCGUGGCCCACUGGCCAGUCCUUGCCCGGCUAGUGCGGCGGUCUCUGGGACGGCCUGAAGGCCUCGGGAUCCCCACAGGCGCUUGCGCAGCGGACCGGGAUGGGGGGUCCGCACAGGGGCGGAAUCUUGGGGCUGCCCCUGUGGGAGCUGGGGAUCAAGGUGUGGCACUGCGAGGAGUCCUUGGCGAGGGGCGACACGGUCAGGAGACUACCAUGAACUGAGUAUGUGAUCAAGGGGUGCGGUCUGUGGAGAGUGUGGGGCGUGGCCUGGAGGGAGUGGGCGUGGUCCACCGCGGGUGGGGAGUAUCUUCAACACGCGAAUCUUCUGUGGACUGUGAGUAGUGAGGGCCUAGGGAGCGUGAGACCCCCACCACUGGCCUCAUUCUGGGCCCUGAUUUCUGGAUUUUUGCAUCCAAAAAGUCCAGCAGUACUGCUCACUUUGGAGUCUUUCUGGGCUGUCUUCCAAUACUAAGAAGAAGAGGUGAGAGAAAAUCAUUAAUUUAUUCACUCCUUCCACCUAAGGGUGCCAGGGGCUACCCCCUCUUUUUUUGCUUCACAUCUAGUGUCCUGUGGCUGGAAGCUUCUCCCCAGAUCUGUGCCCAUCUCCCACCUGGAUUAGAUCACUGGGAGAGGUCUAUAGGGGGACGGCCUUAACAGUGACACAGGUAGAGGUCCUUUGAUCCAGGCAGGACCCUCCUCUUAGUGACAGUGGCCUAACAUGUGCCAGGGGUGCUGAUGACAGGAGGUACCUCCAGCUGGAGAUACGGAGUGUGGGCAGCAGCCCCUUGAUCACUGUCCCAACCUAUCCUACCUUCAGCUUGCUAUCUGCAAGUAGCUAGAGCAAUCUUUUCUAUUUUUCCCACUUUUCAUUUUUUGUUGUUGUUUUGUUUUGGUACCAGGGAUUGAACCCAGGGGUGCUUAACCACUGAGCCACAUCCCCUAGCCCUUUUUUAUGUUUUAUUUUGAGACAGAGCCUCGCCAAAUUGCUGAGGCUGGCUUUAAACUUACGAUCCUCCUGCCUCAGUCUCCUGAGACACUGAGCUUACAAGCAUGCACUACCACUCCCAGCUCCCACUUUUAAUUUUGAGAAUGUUCAGACCCAUAGAAAACUUGAAAAAAAAAUAAUACUACAAUGCACACCAUACAACUUUCACCUAGAAUGCAGGGGUUGACAUUUUUUACCUUGAUUAUGUCUUUGUAUAUAUGUCUACUUCCUAUUGCUAAAACAAUAAUUUUUGGUCUUCAUGAAUUGCCGCAGUCUGGCUGGGCACAAAAUAAUCGAGCCGCCACGAGGCACUUGUAGGUUCAAACAGGAACUACUUUAUUGCCCAAACUCUCACCACACUCCACCACUCUCCCUGGGAACUCUCUCCGCCCUCAACAGGGCUCCACGAGAACUCAACAGGAAUUCCAAAGUAGCAGGGGCCAAGGCAGCAGGAGUCUAUAUACAACUGAAUACACAGCCUGUUUCAAUCCAGCAUCAUCCAGUCACAGCAAUUAUACACAGCUUAACUUAAUUAUCAUCAUCUUAAUGGCUCGUGCACUCCUUCUGGCAAAAUGCUAGGCUCCAUCCCGACUCAGCUGUGGCUCUCAACAUCUCCCCACUUCUGUUUAAUUAAACAACAAGCAUGUGGCUUAGGGACCCUGCCUGUCUUAGGUUGUCCAAUACUACAUAUGGUCCUUACCCGUCAUCUGCCAAAUAUGGUUAGGUAUCAGUCCUCUAGGAUUGACUCCAAGAUUAACUUGUGGUAAAAAGGUCACACAAUUUUGACAUUGUUUUAUUAUUUGUCUAGCUUGUUCCUUAGUUAUUUUAAAAUGCUUUUUAAAAGUAUUUGCAUUGACAUGGAAGGAUUUAUGAAAAUUUGGAGCUUCUUCUAGCAUAGAAAAAAAUAUGUAUGUCAUGUGUAGUUUUAUCUGCUAAAUCAUUGCCCAAACUAAGGGCUCCAGGCAAUCCUGUAUGUGCCCUGACAUGUCCUAUAAAGAUUGGAUCUUUUCUGUCUGUCCCAGAUUAGACUUUGUAUAGUGGAAAACAAAGAGAAAACAGUAGAGGAAGGGGAAAUCCUACCGGCAUCUUCAAGGGAUACUAUAGCAUUAACUAUAUACUGACUAUCAGAAAAUAAAUUAAAUACAGAAUCUUUAAACAUCACAAAAGGGCUGGGGAUGUGGCUCAAGCGGUAGCGCGCUUGCGUGGCAUGCGUGCGGCCCGGGUUCGAUCCUCAGCACCACAUACAAACAAAGAUGUUGUGCCCGCCGAUAACUAAAAAAUAAAUAUUAAAAGUUAAAAAAAAUAAAAAUAAACAUCACAAAAGCUUGUAAUACUGCAAUAAGCUCUACCUUUUGAGCUGAUUGUUUGGGUACUAAAAAUGUAAAAGUUUGAUCAGGGGUAACUACAGCUGCUGUACCAUUAUUUGACCCAUCAGUGAAUAUAUUUGGAGCAUUCAUAAUAGGUGUUUUUCUUGUCAUUUUUGGAAAAACUACAGGAUGUGAAGACCAAAAAGACAACAAAGGAUUAGAUGGUAAGUGGUUAUCAAAUGAAACAUUAGAUUUGCACAUGAUUAUUGCCCAAGUAUUUAACUCAUUAGCUAACUCAUCAAUUUGAUCCAUUGUAUAUGGAGUAAUAAUUUUAUUGGGAGAAAUUCCAAAUACUCACUUUGCUGCUUUUAUUCCUUUGAGUAUCAAUUGUCCUACAGCCUCAGGAUACCUAGUAAGAAUAGGGUUAGGAGAAUAAGAUAAAUGUAUCCAUAAUAAUGGACCUUCUUGCCAAAAUACUCCUGUAGGAACAUUUUUUGUUGGUAGUACAAUAAAUAAUAAAGGCAAACUUAUAUCAAUUCUAUCCAAAUGCAUAUUUUCCAUAUAUGUUUCAAUGAUUUUUUAAUGUCUUUCUUGCUUCAGACGUUAACAUGCGGGGUGAAUUUGGAUCUGAUGGACCUUUUAGGAAAUCACAUAAAGGUCCCAACUCUCCUGUUGGUAUGCCUAGAUAAGGCCUUAUCCAAUUUAUGUCUCCUAAUAACUUUUGAAAGCCAUUAAGUGAUUUGAGUUGAUCUACUCGUAUUUGAAUUUUUGGUGGACGGACCAUGGUUGAGGAUAAUAGAACUCCUAAAUAAUUAAUUGGAAAAUUUAAUAGUACUUUAUCUAUUGCUAUUUCUAGAUUAUAAUUUUUUAAUAAGUUUGUAAGUGUGGCAUAACAUUCUAGCAAUGUGUUUUUAUCUUUGAGUGCUAAUAAUACAUUGUCCUUAUAGUGAAAUAUUUGUAGUUCAGGAUUUUGGUUUCUAAGUGGCUGAAUUGCUUUGUUAACAUAAAUUUGACACAUAGUUGGGCUGUUAACUAUCCCUUGAGGGAGUACUUUCCAUUCAUAUCUCUGAUCGGGACCUUCAUGAUUCAGUGCAGGGAUAGUAAAUGUAAAACGUGGACUAUCCUCAGGAUGAAUUGGAAUUGAAAAAAAACAAUCUUUAAUAUCUAUAACCAAAACAUACCAGGUUUUUGGCAAAGCAGACAAUUGGGGAAUCCCCGAUUGAGCAGGUCCCAUAAUAACCAUCUCAUUAUUAAUGGCUCUUAAAUCUUGCAAUAAUCUCCAUUUACCAGAUUUCUUUUUGAUGACAAAAAUGGGAGUAUUAUGGGGAGAUAUGAAAGGUUGUAUAUGUCCUUCCGCUAAUUGUUGUUUGACCAGGUCAUGGGCUGUUUGUAUCUUUUCUUUAGUCAGGGGCCACUGAGGAACCCAUACUGGUCUUUCUGAUUUCCAAGUAAUUUUUAUUGUCUCAGUUACCCCUCCUGAAAACCCAAUCCAUGUCUACCUAUUUCUUGAUCUAUUUGUAUUGGUACCACUAUACUUUGUCCUUUUUCUCCUAAUACUUUUCCUUUCCUAAAACCUUGUCUAGCCAUAAUAGUGGGCACAUUUGGAUUGGUAUUAUUUGUUAAUGUCAAACCUAAUUGAUCUAGGACAUCUCAUCCCCAUAAAUUUAUAGGAAGAUGAUCCAAUACAUAUGGCUGUAUAGUUCCUUCACAUCCUUCAGGAUCCUUCCAAUCUAAUACCAUUGCACUUCUAUGGGAUUAGUCACCACUCCUAGGCCUCGAAGUGUUUGAGUGGCUUGUUGUAACAGCCAAUGUUUUGGCCAUUCUUGACAAGAUAUGAUGCUAAGGUCUGCACCUGUAUCCAGUAGUCCAUUAAAUUCAUGUCCUUGAAUAUUUAGUUUUAGCAUUGGGCGAGAGUCUAAAUUUAAAGACAGCAUAGCCCAAUCUACACCUGUGGAGCCUAACCUCCUGGAACCUCUUUCUAUAGUACAGCUGGAAAAUUUAUCAUGUAGGCUGGGUAUUAUUAAUAACUGUGCUAUUCCAUCUCCUGGUGAAAUUACUGAUAUACCCCUUGGAGAACUGGCUAUAAUUUUUAUUUCACCUUCUUAAUCGGGAUCAAUUACCCCAGGACUUAUCAUAAGUCCUUUUAGAGUAGAAGAACUGCGUCCCAAUAAUAAGCCUACUGUUCCUCGGGGAAGAGGUCCUUUUACCCCUGUGGGAAUGAUUUGAACUCCCAUCUCUGGAGUUAGUACUGCUCUGGCGGGGGCACAGAUGUCAUUAGCCCAAUGUCUCCCUCUAUGGCAUUGUGGGCAAAUACCCGGUAUUCUACCCCAUUGAUCAUAUCCAGUUUUGUUAAACCCUCCUCCUAUGGGGCAACUCCUUCUAAAAUGUCCUGUUUGUUCACAAUUGUAGCAUGUUUUUGGCCUGGCAUCUAAAGCAUGUUGUACUGCAGCUGUCAAGACUUGCCCUUGUUCAUUAAUGUCUCUACAUAAUUUAAUAUAUGUGUUUAAAUCUUCAUGUUUCCAUGGUCUAAUGGCCUCCUUGCACCAUCGAUUUGCCUGUUCAUAGGCUAGCUGUUUAAUUAAUGGCAUUGCUUGUUCUGUAUCCCCAAAAACUCUGGUAGCUGUUUGAAUAAGCCUAUCUACAAAUUCAGUGUAAGGUUCAUUAGCUCCUUGUAUUACCUUAGAUAAUUGACCGUGAAAAUCUCCAUGUCCUUGUAAAGUCUUCCAUGCCCUAACUGCAUCUGCAGCAAUUUGUGAGUAUAUGGCAGGAUCAUAUCCAAUUUGUUGCUGCUGACCCUCAUAAGGUCCCUUUCCUAACAACAUAUCUAGAUUUCUCUGAGGAUAACCGGCUGCUGCAUUUCGCCUAGCCGUCUCCGUGCAAAAUUCCUGAUUGGCAACCUUCCAUUGUCCUCCAUUUAGCACAGCUUUGCACAUACUAGUCCAAUCUGCUGGCGUCAUGUUCAAGUUGGUAAUGGAUUCGACCAUGCGUACAGUGAAGGGCGCUUGAGGACCAUAGGUUGUUAUGGCCUCUUUCAGCUGCUUCACUGUUUUGAAAUCUAAAACAUGGUAAUUUCGCUGCCCUCCUCCCUCCUCAAAUACAGGGCAUGCUAAUCUUUGAGGUCCUGUCUCAGGAUCCCGUCUAUCAACUACAGGGGUUGAGGGCCACUCAGCAUACGCUGUCUCCAUAGGUGGAGCUGUUGGUUGAAUUACGCCCUCUGGUAAUAGAACGGUGUUAGUAGCAUCUUCCUGUUGUAACUUUUCCCCUGAUAGCUUUUUCUGCUCUAACAUUUUUUUUAGAGAGAGAGAGAAUUUUUAAUAUUUAAUUUUUUUUUUUUAAUUUUCGGCGGACACAACAUCUUUGUAUGUGGUGCUGAGGAUCGAACCCGGGCCGCACUCAUGCCAGGCAAGCGCGCUACCACUUGAGCCACAUCCCCAGCCCACUUUUUCUGCUCUAAACUUUCUUCCCCUUUCUGACUAUCUCGAGAGGCCUCCUCUUUUUCCUGAUCUAAUAUGUAUUCUACCAUAAUCUGAACUGAAAGCUUUGGACUAGGCAAACAAAAUCGUAUCAUCAUCCACAAUGGCAAUGUGCCAACUGACAGAGUUCCUGGGUUUUCCUUUUCUAUCCUUUUUAAAUCUUCACCAUGAUGGUUCCAUUGUGAUAUAUUUAAUAACCUCUCUUUAAUGAAUCAUGGGCUACACCUUUGUAUCGUCUUAACGUAUGCCCUAACUGUUCUUGAUUUUACUGAGAUGCCUCCUUCCUCUAGCAAUUUACUUAACACCCUUUUGGUUUGGUUUUUACUAAUUUUUAAUUCCACCUCUCAACCGCUCCUUCUGGCAAAAUGCUAGGUGCCAUCCCGACUCGGCUGUGGCUCUCUACAAUGAAUGUUAUGAUUUAUAUAUGAGGUGUCCCACAAAAGCUCAUGUGAGAGCCAAUGCAAAAAGGUUCAGAGGUGAAAUGGUUGGGCCAUGAGAGCAUUAACCUAAUCGGUGCUAAUCCACUGAUCGGGAUUAACUGGAUGGUAACUGUAGGACAUAGGGUGUGGCUGGAGGAGGUGGGUCAUUGGGGGUAUGUCUUUGGAGCUUAUAUUUUUGUCCUUGUAAAGCAGAGUUUAUUCUCUCUGCUUCUUGCUGGCCGUGUCCUGACCUGCUUUUGUACACCACAACCUUCCACCAUGAUGUUCUGCCUCAUCCUGACCCUUGAGGAGCUGGCUGUCUAUGAACUGAGAACUCCGAAACCAAGAGUCUCUACAUAAACUUCCCCUCUAAUUGUUCUUCUUGGGUCUUUUAGUCACAGCAGGGGGAAAAAACUGACUAAAUAGUUAUCUUAAGUCCAGGAGCUAAUUAAAGGUUGUACAUUACUUUUUUUGUUUUUCCAGGGAUUGAACUCCGGGACACUCAGCCACUGAGCCACAUCCCCAGGCCUAUUUUGUAUUUUAUUUAGAGACAGGGUCUCACUGAGUUGCUUAGUGCCUUGCCAUUGCUGAGGCUGGCUUUGAACUUGAGAUCCUCCUUCCUCAGCCUCCUGAGCUGCUGGGAUUACAGACAUGCGCCACCAUGCCCAGAGUGCAUUACAUGUGAUUGUGUCUCUUUAGGCUCUUUUUUGGGGGGUGGGGUACAGGGGAUUGAACUCAGGGACACUCAGACACUGAGCCACAUCCCUGGCCCUAUUUUGUGUUUUAUUUAGAGACAGAGUCUCACUGAGUUGCUUAGUGCCUUGCCAUUGCUGAGGCUGGCUUUGAACUUGAGAUCCUCCUGCCUCAGCCUCUUGAGCUGCUGGGAUUAUAGGUGCGUGCCACCACACCUAGCUGCUUUAGGCUCUUUUAAUCUGGAAUAUGCUACCUUGCUUUUUGUCGUUGUUGUGACACUGACUUGGUACAGAUGCAUUCCAGAGCCCACCCAUGUUGACACUCACUGCCCUUCAUCCCAAGUGGUAUGGAGUCAUGGUCUUGGCAGAGGUGCUCAUUAGCAAGUAACGGCCAGUACAUUUUUUUUUUUCUCUUCUGCAAAUAGGAAGCAGGUCUUACUUUGAGAAUAGCGUGAUCUUUUUAAAGCAUAAAUGUCACUACCAUCUUCCACUGCCCUCAGAAUGAGGAGCCAGAUCCUUAGAAAUUAGAGCCAGGGAUGUGGCUCAGUGGUUGAGUGCUCCUGAGUUCAGUCUCUGGUACCCUCCCCCCCAAAAUGGCAAGGGUGUAGCCAAAGGGAGAGGAUGCCUUGGCCACACUGGUGGCUGAAUGGUUAAGGCCUGGGGCAGUGUGGGAACUAUGGCCUAGGCAGGAGAGGUGAUAAGCUAGAGUCAGGCCAAAACAACAUUGGAAGUGCUGGAUGUGGAGACUGAGAUCAGGGGACCCAGUGGCCAGACAGGCAUAGAGGGGCUAAGGAAGGCCCACAGGACCAGAGGCCACAGACACAUCUCGAUAACAUGCUUCCACAUCCAUUGCCUCAGCCACCAGGGGCAGGACUGCAGGCCACACCUCUAACCCAUCUCCUGCUCCCUGGGAACAUCUCCUCCUGGCUGCAGCACUUCCCUUAAAGUGCCUUGCAGCCCCCACCCUGGUGCAGACUUCCCUGCCUAGGUGGUCCUGCUAUCCCUGCACUCCUGGCUGUGUUGUCUCUGACACUCUAUUCACACCUUCCAUGCAGCCCUUUGCUCUGAGCUAUCUCUUGAUCUUGACCCACUGCUCUGAGGUGACAUGAACAGUGCCUGUGGCUGUAUGACUCCUCCUGUACUGAGCUAGAGGUCAUCUUAGAGGUGAGACCUGAAGGACAGAGGAGAGUUAAGUAGGAGGUGCGUUUAGGAAACAAAAAAUGAGACCUUGUCAGAGAGGGGGAGUGCUGUGGCAGAGAAGGGUAGAGGCAGAAGGCCCACCCUGAGCUGAGCUGUCAGCAGGGACCCGAGCUGUCAGCAGGAUGGGCCUAGAGCUUACCCAGAGGCUGACUAGCUAGGGUGUGGGCAGCAGGUACAGCAGAUGGCUGGGGAGAUGCGGGGAGGUGGAGUCACAAGGUAGGGUGAUGGGGUAUGGGAGGAGGACAUGUUGUCCCUGUCAGCAGCAUGCUUUUCAGGAAGACCUGCCCAGCUCUGGCCUAAAGCAAAUGCUUUAACCAAAUGUAUUUCCUUCAGUCCCUAACUUAAAACUGUGCAGUUCUCAAGUGCCAGGUGGGGAAACCGAGGCUUAGGGAGGUGAAGUGACUAAUUGAGGACACACUUAUUUGGGAACACCCCCAUGUAACUCAGCAGCCCAUUCUUGAGUGUGUGGCCCUGACUUGAGAUGGCUUGGCUUAAGGAGGAGUGAAAGCUAGGGGCAGGGCAGGGAGGCCUGGGUCAGCUCCCAGCCCAUUUGUAACCACACAGUGGUCGAGACUUGUAGGAGGGUUUGGUGGGAGGAGAGAGCCAGACAGUGGCAACAGCGAGAGGGAGAAGGCUGAGAGUGUUGUUAGAAAGAAGUGGCAGUGACAUCACAGCCUUAAGAAUCCAAGGAAGGGGGCUGGGGCUGUAGCUCAGUGGCAGGGCGAUUGCCUGGCAUGUGUGAGGCACUGGGUUCGAUCCUCAGCACCACAUAAAAAUAAAUAAACGAAUAGAGAUAUUGUGUCCAACUACAACUAAAAAAAUAAAUAUAUUUUAAAAUAGAAUAAAUAAAUGAAUUAAUACUUUUUUUUUUUUUUUUUAAAGAGCCAGGUGUGGUGGCACACGCCUUUGAUCCCAGCACUUGAGAGGCUGAGACAGGAAGAUCACGAGUUUGAAGCCAGCCAACAGCCUGGCCCAGGGCCACUGCAGAUGGUGCUAAGCCUAGUGGGCAGCCAGCCUUCAUGUGCUCCCAUGCUUUCCUUCGGACCACUCCUCCCACUGUCAGUUAUUUCCAGGAAGAGCCCAGCCAUGGUGGCCAAGUCUCAGGUGAGCUGGCCUUCAGAGAGCAACUGCCAUCUGGGCCUCACAGUUUUAGCCUGGAGUCCCUCACCCAGCACACCCUUGGGGUCAGAACAGCAUCUUCCCUGGAUUCAGGCCCACCUUGCCAGCUGCUCCUUCCCACCAAGCUGAGCCGAUCACAGGGCUUGGAGAGAGACCCCAGUUUUGAGGGUACAGUAUUUCCACACAGUUAUCCUUUCCCCUGCCCACCUCUACCCACCAACACUUUUCCCCAGCAUCUACCUGGAAGGCUGGGAGAUGCACACAGAGCCUCUACCUGUACCCUCAGAUUGGGUGAGGGGUUCUGAGCAGCAAGCACCUAUUAUUAUAGGACAUGAUGACCUUCAAGGACGUUGCUCUGUAAUUUACUUUGGAAAAGGCACAGUACCUGGGCCCACAGCAGAGAGAGCUCUACUGGGACAUGAUGCUGGAGAGCUACCAUGCCCUGAGGGCUCUGGGUGAGCACCACACAGUGGGGCCUUAGUUCCUGCAUCCCAGUGCCUGGUCUCUGGCUCUCUUGGUGCUCAGUAGACCAAACACCCCGGUCCAGGUCAGUGCCCUUGUUCUAUAGGGAGUGUCUAGUGGACUCAUCCUCUAAUCCCUUUCUCUUUGAACCUCCUCUGGGGCCCUUCUCCUCUGUUCUCCUCAGUGGCCCUCAGGCUGGGCAGCUUUGAUUUUCCAGCACUGACAGUUAUCUUCUUGAUGAACAGAGUUUCCAGAGUUCAGAUCCAGGGUCAUCUCUGGGGGAGGAAUGCCAAGGAUUGUGGCCCUGUGGGUCCUCCCUGUACAGGUGAAUGACAGCAAGUUUCCCAGGGAAGUGCGGUAUGUAAGCUGCAAGCAAUGUAGCAUGGAGGGCAGAUGGCCUUGAUUGUCCUUUGUGGGGAGCCACAUUGAGGUACCACGCCUUUCAGUCCUAAUGCACCACGGGGAUCUGAAAGAUCACUGUAGUCUGGUGCUGUAGUGCCAUGACUCCUGAUUCGGUCUCCUUGCCCCCACCUCAGAGGCCAAUCUUCUCAGUGGGCAUACCCCUGGGGUUGAACCACACUCACCUGUUCUUUUGUAAUCCUACCCCUUUGCCCUGUUUGGAAUAGAAUGUUCCAUGGAAACGCCCUUUGUGUGUCCCCUUCUCUUGGUCUGCCUUUGGGUGUGGCCUUCCUAGAUGUCAGUCAAUCUACUGACAGCAGACAUCAGGAAGCUGGACUCAACUCCUUGAAACCUGACCCCUUGCCUCAUUUGAGUGGCUUCUCCCCAAUAAAAUAGUUCAGCACUCACUCUCUCUUUUUGCACAGACCCCUAAGGUCAGAGGAGCCAUCACAGGACCCAAAGAAAAAGGUCUCUCUGACUCUUGUGUGAUUAUUUCAUGCAGCCCAGUUCCCCUGGAGUGACCCUGAGUGUUUUAGUCCUGAGAAACGCGACAGUCCUUUACCAACUCCCCUCCUGCCCCUAUCCCUCCAAGUACAAGUCCACAGUGACACCAUGUGCUGCUGCUCAGGUGAGAUGCUCAUUUUCUUGGUGUCUACAUGAUAGGCCAAUUAGGACUUGGGUUUCAUUAUAAACAGAACACUGCACUGUGUCUACAUUUGGAACAUGCCAUCAGCAGAAGGACCCUUUCACUCAUUCCAUCAACAUUCCUGUCACUCAUUCCAUCAAUAAGCCCGAAUUGAGUGCACCCAUGUGUAGUCAUUCUUCUACGUGCUGAGGUUAAGAUUAAGCAAAACCAAGUCUUUGCAUGGAGUUUGCAUGUUAGUCUGGGGGGUGGGCAUCCAGCUAGAGAGGAAUUCUCUGUCCUGAACCUGAUGUCCUAUUGUUGACUCCCCAUUAGGCUGCCAACUCCGUGGGGGCAGGGUCUCUAUUCCUAACUGAACUCCUGGCACCAGGAUCUAUGUCUGGCUCUUAGAAGGCACAUGGCAGGCACUGAGCAGGUGUGCUCCUUUAGUUGUCAGCACUAAAAUGAAAGGGAAAAAACAUAGUCUGUUUAGGGUUCAGUGCUAACCUGUUUCUGGUGUCCACUGGAGGUCUUAGAACAUAUCCCUACAUGGAGAUUGUAAGUGGGGACACCUGUACCUUCCUUCUCCUUUCACAGGCAUGCCUUUAAUUUCCCCUUCUGUGUUUCAGAUUUUCAAGUCAAGACAAAGUGUCAUCAGUUAACUUCAAAGGAAGAAUCUUUUGGAAAAGAAUUUCAAGCAAUGACUCAGAAAGUUUCCCUAAGAGGCAAUCCAGAGGCAUCUAAGUCUCAACAAGCUUUUAGGACCGAGGCAGGAGCAGAACAUUCAUGGAAAAAAAAAUCACAGGAAUGGGC